rnacentral:rRNA from 1 species
GUAGGGUGCAAGCGUUAUCCGGAAUCAUUGGGCGUAAAGAGCUCGUAGGCGGUUCAGCAAGUCGGCUGUGAAAUCCCGAGGCUUAACCUCGGAACUGCAGUCGAUACUGCUGUGACUAGAGUCCGGUAGAGGAGAAUGGAAUUCCCGGUGUAGCGGUGAAAUGCGCAGAUAUCGGGAGGAACACCAGUAGCGAAGGCGGUUCUCUGGGCCGGUACUGACGCUGAGGAGCGAAAGCGUGGGGGUAGCAAAAAGGAUUAGAUACCCUGGUAGUCCACGCCGUAAACGUUGGACACUAGGUGUGGCGUUCCGACCAACGGGUGCCGUGCCGAAGCUAACGCAUUAAGUGUCCCCGCCUGGGGAGUACGGCCGCAAGGCUA